rnacentral:tRNA from 1 species
GCUCUGGUGGCAUAGUGGUUAAGAGCUUGGCUGCUAACCAAAAGGUUGGCAGUUCAAAUCUACCAGUGCU